rnacentral:ncRNA from 1 species
CAUCCAGAGCGGCGGAGGGACUGGCCCAAUGAAACCGCGGCAACCAUUGACGCUUUGUCAAAACGGUGCCAAUUCCUUUAGGUUCAGCCUAUAAGAUGAGA